GUGUCAGCAGCCGCGGUAAUACGGAGGUGGCAAGCGUUGUUCGGAAUUACUGGGCGUAAAGGGCGCGUAGGCGGCAAGGCAAGUCAGAUGUGAAAGCCCCGGGCUUAACUCGGGAAUUGCAUCUGAAACUGCUUUGCUUGAGUCCUGGAGGGGGUAGUGGAAUUCCCAGUGUAGCGGUGAAAUGCGUAGAUAUUGGGAGGAACACCGGUGGCGAAGGCGGCUACCUGGACAGUGACUGACGCUGAGGCGCGAAAGCUAGGGGAGCAAACGGGAUUAGAUACCCGCGUAGUCC
rnacentral:rRNA from 1 species